AUCCAAAUGUUCUUCUACUACUGCUUCAUGGAAUUGUAGGUGAAACGUCUUAAGUGAAGAUUUUCAUUGGUCUUUUAAAAUAAGAUUGCUCCUGUGUUUCAUAGAUGGGAAAUCAUACUGAUGACUCAACCAUAUAUAGCAUUAUUUUGCUGGUUCAUGCUACCUCAGCGGAAACUGCCAAAGGUCAUCUGACAUAAUAGCUGAUGAAUUCAAGCCCAGUGGAUUUCAUUUGCAAUUUUCAAUUUACUGAGGCCUCCAAACCCCACGGUGAUAAAAGCUUCCCCUAUCGUGGCCUGUCACAAACAUCAAGAAACUGCACAAACCCACAAGAAAGAAAAAAGAGAAAGCUGUGCAUCAUCACAGCUAUAGAUAAGGAGAACAGGAAGAAAUGGUAUCAUGCAGGAAGAUGGGGAGCAGCCUGUGUGGCUAGUUCUCUAAAUGCCAAUUGAAACGAAAAGACUAUGAGGAACAAUCAAAUAACUUCCACAGAAUAACAACAUGUUUCUUUGGAGCUUUUAUGUGAAAAUUGCCUUCUAAUCUCUGACUUGACAUGCUCCCACACAAAAAUGUAAGUGUAAAUAUGCAAAUAAAUAAAUGAAUAAAUAAUCCUUGCUUACCUGGUCACUGGAAAGCACACUCUCUGUGCUGUAUUUACCACAGUUUUGCUUUACAAAAUGCAUGCUCAUAGAGGGUCUUUGAUCAUGGAAGUGUAGGCUCAGC
rnacentral:lncRNA from 1 species